UGACCUCGGAUCAGGUAGGGAUACCCGCUGAACUUUAAGCAUAUCAAUUAAGCGGAGGAAAAGAAACCAACCGGGAUUGCCUAGUAACGGCGAGUGAAGCGGCAAGAGCUCAAAUUUGAAAGCUGGCUCCUUCGGGGUCCGCAUUGUAAUUUGCAGAGGAUGCUUNGGGAACGGCCCCGAUCUAAGUGCCCUGGAACGGNCNGUCAUAGAGGGUGAGAAUCCCGUNUGGGAUGGGGUGUCCGCGCCCGUGUGAAGCUCCUUCGACGAGUCGAGUUGUUUGGGAAUGCAGCUCUAAUUGGGUGGUAAAUUUNAUCUAAAGCUAAAUAUUGGCCGGAGACCGAUAGCGCACAAGUAGAGUGAUCGAAAGAUGAAAAGCACUUUGAAAAGAGAGUUAAACAGCACGUGAAAUUGUUGAAAGGGAAGCGCUUGCGACCAGACUCGCCCGCGGGGUUCAGCCGGCAUUCGUGCCGGUGUACUUCCCCGCGGGCGGGCCAGCGUCGGUUUGGGCGGCCGGUCAAAGGCCCCUGGAAUGUAACGCCUCUCGGGGCGUCUUAUAGCCAGGGGUGCCAUGCGGCCUGCCCGGACCGAGGAACGCGCUUCGGCUCGGACGCUGGCAUAAUG
rnacentral:rRNA from 1 species